CUGUUUGUGAAUUUUUAAGGUCAAUGCUGAAAGCUCUGGCUGUUCACAGAGUUCUGGGUCAAAGAAUAUUCAUGAAAAGUUGACUGGAGGGGAAAACCGUGGUUGGAAAAGAUGCACAAGCAACAGGGAUGACCGCAGCCUUGAGAAGAUUGUCAAGGAAAGCCGAUUCCAGC